rnacentral:rRNA from 1 species
UGGGGAAUAUUGCACAAUGGAGGGAACUCUGAUGCAGCGACGCCGCGUGAGUGAUGAAGGAAUUCGUUUCGUAAAACUCUGUUCUAUGGGAAGAAAAGGACUGUACCAUAGGAGAAAGCUCCGGCUAAAUACGUGCCAGCAGCCGCGGUAAUACGUAUGGAGCGAGCGUUGUCCGGAAUUAUUGGGCGUAAAGGGUGCGCAGGCGGCUUUACAAGUUGGAUGUGAAAUAUUGUGGCUCAACCACAAACGUGCAUCCAAAACUGCAAAGCUUGAGUUAAGGAGAGGUAAGUUGAAUUCCUGGUGUAGCGGUGGAAUGCGUAGAUAUCAGGAGGAAUACCGGUGGCGAAGGCGACUUACUGGACUUAAACUGACGCUCAGGCACGAAAGCGUGGGGAGCAAACAGG